rnacentral:rRNA from 1 species
CCCUUCACUCUGGGACAAGCCCUGGAAACGGGGUCUAAUACCGGAUAUGACUACCGGCCGCAUGGUCUGGUGGUGGAAAGCUCCGGCGGUGAAGGAUGAGCCCGCGGCCUAUCAGCUUGUUGGUGGGGUGAUGGCCUACCAAGGCGACGACGGGUAGCCGGCCUGAGAGGGCGACCGGCCACACUGGGACUGAGACACGGCCCAGACUCCUACGGGAGGCAGCAGUGGGGAAUAUUGCACAAUGGGCGAAAGCCUGAUGCAGCGACGCCGCGUGAGGGAUGACGGCCUUCGGGUUGUAAACCUCUUUCAGCAGGGAAGAAGCGAAAGUGACGGUACCUGCAGAAGAAGCGCCGGCUAACUACGUGCCAGCAGCCGCGGUAAUACGUAGGGCGCAAGCGUUGUCCGGAAUUAUUGGGCGUAAAGAGCUCGUAGGCGGCUUGUCACGUCGGAUGUGAAAGCCCAGGGCUUAACCCUGGGUCUGCAUUCGAUACGGGCAGGCUAGAGUUCGGUAGGGGAGAUCGGAAUUCCUGGUGUAGCGGUGAAAUGCGCAGAUAUCAGGAGGAACACCGGUGGCGAAGGCGGAUCUCUGGGCCGAUACUGACGCUGAGGA